CCUGGGAGCUCUGGAACUGGAAGUACUGGAACCUGGAACCCUGGGAGCUCUGGAACUGGAAGUACUGGAACCUGGAACCCUGGGAGCUCUAGACCUGGAAGUACUGGAAACCAAAACACUGGGAGCCCUAGACCUGGUAGUACCGAAACCUGGAAUCCUGGCAGCUCUGGACAUGGAAGUGCUGGGCACUGGAGUUCUGAGAGCUCUGUAUCUAGUAGUACUGGACAUUGGCACUCUGGAUCUGGAAGUUUUAGGCCAGAUAGCUCAGGCUCUGGGAACACCAGGCCUACCAACCCAGACUGGGGCAUGGUUGAAGAGGUGCCAGGAAAUGUAAGUCCAGGGACAAACAGAGAGUACCACACAGAUAAACUGGUCACUUCUAAAGGAGACAAAGAGCUUGUGGUUGGUAAAGAGAAGGUCACCUCUGGUAGCACAACCACCACACGUCGUUCAUGCUCUAAAACUGUUACUAAGACUGUUAUUGGUCCUGAUGGUAACAAAGAAGUUACCAAAGAAGUGGUGACCUCCGAAGAUGGUUCUGACUGUCCUGAGGCAAUAGAUUUAGGCAUAGGUACUCUGGAUGAGUUCCGCCAUAGGCACCCUGAUGCAGCUGCCUUCUUUGACACUGCCUCAACCGGAAAAACAUUUCCAGGUUUCUUUCCACCUAUGUUCAGAGAGUUUGCCAGUGAGACUGAGUCAAUGGGUUCAGAAUCUGGUACCUUCACAAAUACAAAGGGAACCAGUUCUCAUCACUCUGGGGUAGCUGAAUUCCCUUCCAGUGGUAAAACUUCAAGUCAUAGCAAACAAUUUAUUAGUAGCACAGCUUACAACAGAGAAGGCUCCACAUUUGAAAGCAAGAGUUAUAAAAUGGCAGAUGAGGCCGGAAGUGAAGCUGAUCAUGAAGGAACACAUUCCACCAAGAGAGGCCAUGCUAAAUCUCGCUCUUCCAGAGGUAUCCACACUUCUCCUUUGGGGAAGCCUUUCCUGUCCCCUUAGACUAAGUUCAAUAUUUCUGCACAGUGCUCCCAUGGCCCCUUGCAUUUCCUUCUUAACUCUCUGUUACAGUUCAUUGAAACUACACUUUUUUGGUCUGUUUUUGUGCUAGACUGUAAGUUCCAUGGGGGCAGGGCCUUUGUCUGUCUCAUCUCUGUAUUUCCAAAUGCCUAACAGUAACAGAGUCAUGACUCAAUAAAUACAUGUUAAAUGGAUGAAUUA